CUGCAGCAUACUGGCUGGAGAAACACAUGUGAAUGAACUCUCCGUCUCUUCACCCAAAGGCAGUGACAGAGGGCUUGGAGACAGAGAUGAAUGGUUUUUAGUUUUAUUAUUUCUGGAGGAAAAUCAAAGAAGGUCAGUGAGGAAAAAAAAAAAGUGCCUAUUCCCUCAACCUUUCUAUCAAUAUAUGCAACCAUUUUCAUGAGGAGCAAAUCAGCUGAAGAAAACACAGGAGAAGCAGCCUGGUGGAAGGGAAGCAAAGAACUUGGAAGGAAGGAUGGCGUAGUGAUGUGA
rnacentral:lncRNA from 1 species